rnacentral:rRNA from 1 species
AGGGUUUGAUUCUGGCUCAGGAUGAACGCUAGCUACAGGCUUAACACAUGCAAGUCGAGGGGCAGCAUGGUCUUAGCUUGCUAAGGCUGAUGGCGGCCGGCGCACGGGUGAGUAACACGUAUCCAACCUGCCGUCUACUCUUGGCCAGCCUUCUGAAAGGAAGAUUAAUCCAGGAUGGGAUCAUGAGUUCACAUGUCCGCAUGAUUAAAGGUAUUUUCCGGUAGACGAUGGGGAUGCGUUCCAUUAGAUAGUAGGCGGGGUAACGGCCCACCUAGUCAACGAUGGAUAGGGGUUCUGAGAGGAAGGUCCCCCACAUUGGAACUGAGACACGGUCCAA